GCCGCGUCAAAUAGGCUAGGCUGUAAUAUUAGGUAAAAUCUAAUUUCAGUUUGGUUAUCACAUAGCGUUCAUUUCCCUAAGGGAGGAGAAAAAAUUAAAUUUGUAAGCUUAAGAUUCCAGCUGAAGUACUCAAGAAUCCUGUUUCUCUGACAGAGGAAAGGAACAACAACUUGACUGGACACAUCCUAACCCAACCAUACGCUGUGUUACUUCCUCCACUGCGCCACACACAGCUAUUAUUCUAAGCUUUCUUAUUCAAACCCUUAAGGAUUUGUAAGGGGAACACUGAGAAGAAGAUGGGCAGAAAUCAAAGCUUCCUGGUGUGAGGUUGUGGUAGAAGAUUCCUGGUUGAUCAAUGUAUAGAAGAUGGAAAUGGAUUCCAGUUGUGGGAAGGAAGAAAUCAUUGCUGCAGUCUCAGUCUGCUCUGCAGGAAUAGACCAUCUGAGGACACAGCAGGAAGGUGGCCAUCUGCAAUUCAAGGAGAGAAGCCUCGGGAGAAAAUAAACCUGCCGGCACCUUGAUCUUGGACUUUUAGCCCCCAGAGCUGUGAGAAAAUAAAUGUUUGUUGUUUAAGCCA